rnacentral:rRNA from 1 species
AGUUAUCUGAACCUUCGGGGAACGAUAACGGCGUCGAGCGGCGGACGGGUGAGUAAUGCCUAGGAAAUUGCCCUGAUGUGGGGGAUAACCAUUGGAAACGAUGGCUAAUACCGCAUAAUACCUACGGGUCAAAGAGGGGGACCUUCGGGCCUCUCGCGUCAGGAUAUGCCUAGGUGGGAUUAGCUAGUUGGUGAGGUAAUGGCUCACCAAGGCGACGAUCCCUAGCUGGUCUGAGAGGAUGAUCAGCCACACUGGAACUGAGACACGGUCCAGACUCCUACGGGAGGCAGCAGUGGGGAAUAUUGCACAAUGGGCGCAAGCCUGAUGCAGCCAUGCCGCGUGUGUGAAGAAGGCCUUCGGGUUGUAAGGCACUUUCAGUCGUGAGGAAGGUAGUGUAGUUAAUAGCUGCAUUAUUUGACGUUAGCGACAGAAGAAGCACCGGCUAACUCCGUGCCAGCAGCCGCGGUAAUACGGAGGGUGCGAGCGUUAAUCGGAAUUACUGGGCGUAAAGCGCAUGCAGGUGGUUUGUUAAGUCAGAUGUGAAAGCCCGGGGCUCAACCUCGGAAUAGCAUUUGAAACUGGCAGACUAGAGUACUGUAG